rnacentral:rRNA from 1 species
GUAGGGAGCGAGCGUUAUCCGGAAUUAUUGGGCGUAAAGGGUGCGUAGAUGGCAUAGUAAGUCUUUUGUAAAAAUGCUGGGCUCAACCCAGUAGGGCAAAAGAUACUGCAAAGCUAGAGUAUGACAGAGGCAAGUGGAACUACAUGUGUAGCGGUAAAAUGCGUAAAUAUAUGUAAGAACACCAGUGGCGAAGGCGGCUUGCUGGGUCGAUACUGACAUUGAGGCACGAAAGCGUGGGGAGCAAA